rnacentral:rRNA from 1 species
GACGAACCGUGCGACCGUUAUUCGGAAUCACUGGGCUUAAAGCGCGUGUAGGCGGGUCGGUGCGUCGGCCGCUGAAAUCCCCCGGCUCAACCGGGGAAGGGGCGCCGAUACGACCGGCCUGGAGCGACGUAGGGGGGACUGGAACUUCCGGUGGAGCGGUGAAAUGCGUUGAGAUCGGAAGGAACGCCCGUGGCGAAAGCGAGUCCCUGGACGUCGGCUGACGCUGAGACGCGAAAGCCAGGGGAGCGAACGGG